rnacentral:lncRNA from 1 species
CUAUUCAUUAAAUGGUCAACAGUGGUUGGCAUAUUAUGCAAGAUAACACCGCUUAUAAAUAGAUUCAGAAGCCAUGGUUUGUGUCCUCUAGGGGCUAAUAACUGCCUAGAAUUACAUUACUUGAAUAUUGUUUCCCUUUUAAUAGUGUUACUUUUGGAGAUAUUUUAAAUUACUUCAUGUAGAACCAAAAAGAAGGUAGCCUAUUUGGAGUCAAAACAGCUUAUCAACCAAAGAUAAUCUAUAUUUUAAAAUAAAUCCAUAUUAUUAAAUGCUCCAUAAAAUAUUAGAUAUAUUUUGAAAUGUUAUUAACAGUAUGCUAUGAAUACAUGCACUUU